GAUUAUCAUUUAUUUAUCUUAAAAAAUGUUCUGAAUGCAUAACUUUUUUUGGAAAGACAUUUUAGAUUUAGAAAAUUCUCCUAAAUCCCAAAACUAUGAUUUUAGGGUGUUACAGAACUACAUGAACGUAAUAACCUACAUCAUCUAUAUAGCCCCACUGGGGUGAACUAGUUGUAUGCUCUAGCCUACAAGCAGGAACAAUUCCCAUGGGAGUAGCAGAAUACUUGCUCUUUCACUAUGACAACGAUUGCACGAGAGUCAAGAACAACUCGUGCAUCCUACAGGACAUGCUACUGGUGUAUAUGGUGCCACAGGUCUUGAGGAUGUGGCUAAGAGGGAAGAGAAGCCUUGCACUGUGGCUUUGGAUCGUAGGGUGUGUCCUUAGGAAUUAAGCCCUAUUUGAUGAUGGAUGGUGCAUGAGAGCACAUGGAUGAUGCAUCAUGUUUGGUUGGAGACCUCAUGGAAGGAGGUUGUAUGGCUUCAGACGACCCAAGGUCGGUCUGGGCCAUGUCUAUGAAUUUAGUGACAUAUUGCCGACACUAUUCUAUAGCUACCUCCCUAACGUCAGACGCUAGAGAGUCGUGGAGGAGCGCCUCCACAGAAUCAUGAGGUCCAAUGGAGACAAAAGUGCUAAAGUUGAGUCAUUGUCGUGUCCAUCGUGGUGUCAAGUGCUAAGAUGGGCCACCAAGCUUCUAGGCCACUUUAGUAGAGUUCCAAAAUGAGGCUAGAAGAGUGGCAUGCAUCAAAGGACUAUGGUCUCUCAAAGCUCGUGGAUGCAUUUGCCAUGAGACUCCCUUGAUAUUAUUUACACCAGAAGGAUCACAAAAGGAGUGGGGCUAGUGGUGGUAGUGCCACGUGGUCCCAAUAAGGGAUAUCGAACUAGACCGACAAAGGAAGUUGUUUGGGUAAUGGAGGAAGAGGUUGGUCAACCUGACCCGACCUUAGCUUCGCCUAACGUAGCGGAGAGAUAUAUCAAGCAAGACCGGUAUGCUGCUCAUGACCUAGUACAUGGUUAGUAUUGUUGGAGCCAGUGUCAAAGGCCAUCGUUUCAUCGACUAGUUGCGCUGAUGAAGCCAUUGUCGAUGCAACACAGCAAAGCACGCAACACCCAACGUGGUGUGUCAAAUGUCACGGUUAUGCGACACCAUAGUACAAAAAGGUACAAGAGAAAAUGAGAGGGAGAGAGAGGAAUGUAGGACUGGGACCAUUGUAUUAGGACAUCGAUAUGGUUGUAAACACAAGCACAAUGUAGAUUGGUUUGAGCUGCAUGAGUGUGAUACCCUACAUCUUUUGUAUGGUUGGUGAUUAGAUGCAAAAGUGUUUGCAAGGAUUACAUGCUUUAAAGAUGUCUGAGCUGGUGAAUAAGGAGAGCCCUAGCCGCCUUUUGUUAAGUGUACUGUUGAGCUGAGCUAGAGAGCUUAGACUAAGGCGAGGGCUCUUGGUAUAUUCUAACCCAACGUGAACCGAAGACAGAAUGAACGAACCUUUUUAUGUUGCUCUACACCUUUCUUUUGUAGCACAAAGGAGGAGAAAAUUGCAUCUCUGCAUGUUAGCAGGGGUCGAACUACUUUUAGCUUAUCGUUGUUGUACUAUAUACGAAGCACACCUCCCAUAUGCUACAAUGUGAAGUGUGGCAUGCUACAAUGGUAGGUAUGGGUGUCUACACCCUUGAGUAAAGUUGUAGUUAUUGAAGACGCACACAUUAUAUAGUGUUUGUGCGUACACUUGCAUCCUAAGAUGUGACUAUAAUGACGCCACCACUAUCUCUU
rnacentral:lncRNA from 7 species